GCUUGGGUGGCUCAGUUGGUUGAGUGUCUGACUUCAGCUCAGGUCAUGAUCUCAUGGUCUGGUCUGUGAGUUCGAGCCCCGCAUCAGGCU
rnacentral:tRNA from 1 species